UGGCUGGGAGGGCCUCAGGAACGAAGCCUUUGUCUUUGCUCAGGUGUGUUCUCACAAUGGGGAGCCACGGCCCUCCCCAAGGACCAGCGAGCAAUGGGCGCAUCUCAUUCGCUGCCUGCAUUUGCCCCCGCCCAUCCAAGAGAGCAGAAUCAGAGAGGGUGAAGGCGUCCCAGCCAAGGCUGUGAGAAAGCACUUGAGAACCGUAAGAGCAGAAAGGCAAGGCAAGCUACCAGCUUCUUGGACCAACCGCCUUUUGUCCUUGCUCAGGGGAAUACAAGCUUUCUUUCUCCAGACACUGCAAGCGUCCGCAAGUUCUUCCCUUUAAAAGGGAUUAUGAAGGAAAUCUCGUUUCAGAAUUGCUGCUGCUUUUGGCAAUCUGCAAUAUUAGCCUGAUGAGGAAUUACACUCGCUAAUGAAAUCUCGCAAGUUGGGUUGAGUCUAAUUGUUGCUAGUGCUCGUAGUAAUAACCUUUCUUGGGGACUUCUGUGCCUGCGCAUCCCUCGCUUGGCUACAGCCCAUGUGGAAAAUCAAUUUCCUCUAAAUGUUUGAAGAAUGGCACAGAAGGACCUGAUUUCUUUUCCCUCUGCUGGAGUCAAUCUGGAGACAGUGAGCCUAUAAAAUGAAUGAAAAUAGCUACGAUUGCAAGAUGCAGGGUGGAACGCCGAGCUAAGCUAAGCAGAGCUGAUCGCACACUCCAAGUUCCAGCUUUUUGUCCUAAGGCCAGAGACAAUAUACAUUCGUGUCCCAAAUUGAUGGGCUCUUAAAAAGUCACAGAACAGAAAGGAUUUUACUUCAACCUGGCAAUUUCACUUCUAGGAAUCUCUCCCGCAGAAAAACUCCCAGGAGAAUGCAGGACUGUAGGAACCUGGUUUGUGACGGUGAAAAAUUGGAGGCAAGAGAAUUAUCUGACAAUGAGAGACUGGUUAAAAAAAAAUGGUGGUAGAUCCAUGCUCUGUAGCCAUUAAAAAGAAAGAGCUAAAUCUGUGUGAAUUCAUAUGGAAGGAUUUUUACGGUAUGGUAUUGGGUGGAAAAAAGCAAGUUACAGACAUACAUAGUAUGGGUUCACUUUUGUAAAAAAAAACCUUCAACAACAAUGUGCACAUUUAUACGUAGAUGUUUGUACAUGAGUAGAGAAAGAUCUGAAAGGGUACACACCAAGUUGUAGAUGGUGGUGGCUAAACUCAGGAG